GAGUUUGAUCUUGGCUCAGAUUGAACGCUGGCGGCAUGCCUUACACAUGCAAGUCGAGCGGCAGCGCGGGGCAACCUGGCGGCGAGCGGCGAACGGGUGAGUAAUGCAUCGGAACAUGUCCUGUCGUGGGGGAUAGCCCGGCGAAAGCCGGAUUAAUACCGCAUACGUCCGAGAGGAGAAAGUGGGGGACCCGCAAGGGCCUCACGCGAUUGGGUUGGCCGAUGUCCGAUUAGCUAGUUGGUGGGGUAAAGGCCCACCAAGGCGAUGAUCGGUAGCUGGUCUGAGAGGAUGAUCAGCCACACUGGGACUGAGACACGGCCCAGACUCCUACGGGAGGCAGCAGUGGGGAAUAUUGGACAAUGGGGGCAACCCUGAUCCAGCCAUGCCGCGUGAGUGAUGAAGGCCUC
rnacentral:rRNA from 1 species